ensembl:lncRNA
AACUUAACCACUGUGUCACCAGGCCAGCCCCUCUGGUAGCUUUUGAUAUCUACUUUCUUUCUUCUCCUCCCUGCACUUUCUCUGCAGUGUGUUUCAGUGUGGAUUUAUGUUGUUUAUACUACUUGGAACUUGUGCUUCUUGAAGCUGAAGCUUUAUAUCUUUCAUCCAUUCUGGAAAACACUCAUCUUUCUCAUUUUCUCUCUUCUUUCUGGAAUUCCUUAAGAUUGCUCCUGGCAGGCCAUGAAGCACUGUGGCACAAACGUGGCUUUUUUCUCUCCAGAAGGGAAUUUCUGCCUCUUCCAUCUCAGUCAGUACUGUCCCUUGUCGUGGGGGCUUUUUUUAUCCAGUUUUCAGUUCUCUCUCAGGGGUAAUUGUUCCAAGAGUAGUUGUAAAUUUGUUGUGUCUGUGGGAGGGGAAGUUCAGAGCACCUACGCCGCCAUCUUGACACCAUCCUCUGGGCUGGCACUCCUGCUCUCUCUUCCUUAGACAACUCACCCUGGGGGAAGCCAGCUGCCACGUCAUGAGGACACUCAGGCAACUUAUGGAGACGCCCAUGUGGCAAAGAAUGGAAGUGUCCUGCAACAGCCAGUGAGGAACCAGGGCCUGCCAGUAAACAGCUCGAGAAGAACAGUGGUCACCCCUGUCCAAGACACAUCCUUCUCCCUCGUCCUCAUAUUAGGCAGGACUCUCAGUUUCAAGUGGCACAAAAAUUUAGCACGAACUGGCUGAGGACUGUGUUAGACGCGGGGACUCACACAAUGUCAUUGGGACUCAGUCCCUCUCCAUUUCUCGGCUCUGUUAUCGUCCGUGUUGACUUCAUUCCCAGGCAGGUCCUCCUUAUGUGGUAGCAAAGACAGCCCCCCUUAGCUCCAGGCUGCCAUUCUCAGCAGCGUGGCAAUCCCAGAAGACAGGAUUCCAGCGGAAGCCCCAGGGCCAGCGCUCAUUGGACAGAACCGUGUCACGUGUUCUUUCACGACCCCGCCGCUGUGGCCAGGCGUUAGAACAAGCUGAUUGGCCAGGCCUGAGUCACAUGACUACUUCCAAAGUUGGGGGAGGCUGCGGCCCAGGGAGUGGAGAAGGACAGUUGCCCAAAGGACAGUUGCACUUGGGGAAGGAGACGGUGAAAGCGACAGAUCUCUACCUGACUUUCAGCGUCUCUACUGCUCCCUCCAUCGUCCUCUGUUCGUUUCCUAUUCCUGCUGUGUAGAUCGCCACAGACGCGCUGGACUACAACGGCACGAAUGUAUCAUCGUACAGUCAUGGAGGGCGGAAGUCCAAAACGAGUCUUCUGGGGCUAAAUUCCAUGUGUUGGCCUGGCUGGUUCCUUCCAGAAGCUCUGGGGGAGAAUCUGCCCCUUGCCUUCUUCUUCUGGACGCUGUUUGCAUUCCUUGGCUUCUGGCCCCACAGCCUUUCCUCCCUGUGCUGUCACUGUCACGUCACCUUCUCCAGACUCCGCUCUCCUGCCUCCCUCUUAUAAGGCCCCUUGUGGUUGCAUUUAGGGCCCACCUCUCCAUCUUAAGGUCAUUAACUGGAUCACCUCUGCAGAAGGGAGUCCCUUUGCUGCGUAAGGUGAUCUGCACAGGGUCAGAGGAUUACGACGGGGACAUCUUUGAGGGCCCACCACCCCACCCAGACACGUGACGGCCCCACUCUAGCCACCUGGGAAUCCCCAGGCACUCUCGGGGUCCACCAGGCGCUUCCUCCUCCCUCUUCCUUUGCUCCUGCAGUUUCCUCGGCUGAAUGACCCCCAUCCCAGCCCUUCCCACCUGCCAGUCUCCGUACUUGAACUUCAAGGCUUAGCUCAAAUUGCACUUCUCUUUUGUAGCUUUCUUCCACUCCUACGACUGGUAUACUGAGGUACACACUUUCUCGUGUCCCAGAGCAUAGUGUUUUAUGACAGUGAACCACAGUAGCCAGUUCACCUUUCCAACCACUCGUUUGAUCGUGACAUCUUUAGGAGCAGAGACUUUUGCUUGAUCACCUCUAUUGCUCCAGCUCCUAACUCAUAGCUCAUGGCAUUUAAUAAGGUGCAAAAAAUAUUUACGGAAUCCCACAGCAGGUAAUGGAAUCCAUCACGAUUUUUUAAAGUCCCAGCUCAUGGUGGGCUGCUUUUAUGGUGGAUGUCAGCUGUUUCGCCUGCCUGCCCAGCAUUCCUGACCCCCCUGUUUGAUACCCACUCCCCGCCGUCCUCUGGGGACCCCCCACUCCCCCUUAUGAGGGUCGUGAUCAUAUGGCCGUAUUGGCCACAGCGCCACACGUGGGUCUGGUCAGUCAGAGCCAGAGUGACUGUCCCAGAUGGAGGCAUGUGGCCCAGUCUGGGCUAAAGAGAGUGAAGACCUGGGAUUUUACAUGGAGGUGGGAGAGAGAAGCGGCUGGUGAGCUGGUGUGAGGAGCGCCUGGAGCUGUGGGGGGCCCUGCCGCGCCCUGUCACCCUCCACCUGGAAGAAGCUUGCCUGCAGACAAGACAGUGAAGUCAACCAGAGGGAAAACCGAACUCGGGUGGUACGUGAGAUAGGCAGAUGUGGGACAGUGGUCCCCAGGCAGCCUCCGCGCCUGGACUUCCCUUGGCGACAGCUAAGCAGUUCCCUUUCUUCCUGAUAUCAGUUGGAGUUGGAUUCUGACACUCGUGCCUGAGCGGAUCGUGACCGAUACAGGUUUGAACUCUGGGGUAAAAUCAUCUCCAGAAUCCUCCAGCAGACUUCCCUCUUCUUCUCACUGGCCAAAAUCAAGUCACAUGACCAUCCCUGAUCCAUCUCUUGCACAGGGGAACAGGAUUGCUAUGAUUGGCUGUGACCAGUCAUGAGUCAUCUCUUUGCUCAGAGAGCAGCACAACUGACCGGAUACUCACCCUCUUUGAGUUUCUGGGGGUGGUGAGGCCCAUCUCCAGUCUUGGGAGCAGUCUGUGUGGAGGGCCUUCUCUGGGCCAGGCCUUGUGCAGAUGAAGGAAAACAGUCCCCACCUUCAAAUGCACGCAGGAGGCAGGAAGGAGCCACUACACGGUCUGCAGGGAAAAGUUGGACACAGACACCUGUGCACGGGGAGAACCGCCAUCUGCAGUUGAAGGUAGAGAUCCGGGAUGCCUUUAGAGCCCUGGAAUGCCCGAGACGGCCAGUGCUCACCAGAAGAGGAGAGGGGCCUGGAACAAUCCUUCUCCACAGCCCUCGGAAGGAGCCACCUGCAGACAUCUGAUCUCAGACUUGUGGCUUCCAGACCGUGAGACAAUAAAUCUCUGUUGUCUCCGCCAUUCAGUCUGUGGCACUUUGUUAGGGCGGCCCUAGGAACGUAACAUACCAUCUUCGUCUCAAGGUAGCUGGGAAGAAAUAGAGGAGAGGCAGGGCCAUAUGAGAUGAGCCUAGAAGGCAGGUCAGGGCCGGAUCAGACAGGGCCUCACAGGUUCCGAUAAGACUUUGGGUUUUACUCUAAGGUCCAGGAAACCGUUGAUGGGUUUAUAACUGCCAUAAGCAGAGAAGCGAUCCUGUGUGGAGAAUGAUUUGGAAGGGGGCGGAAGUAACAGCGGAAAGACCAGCAUGGAAGCCACUGCACCUGUCCAGGUCUUUCUCUGUGAUCUGUUCUUCUGCCCAGAAAUUAGCUCGUGUUCCUUCUUUUCAGCUGGCACUGAAGUCGUUUGCUGCUAAGCAUGACGUUAACGACGUAAAGUGACACAGGCAAGUUUCUCAAGUGGUGGAAACACCUCGUUCUUUUAAUGGUCCUCGACUUCUCCCCACCCUCUAGGGGAAAGUCUGAACUUCCGGCCUAUUGGGUCAUAACCAAGGGACUGAGAAUUUAGAAUCAGGAAUGGAUACAGCUGGAGGGGUCUCAGUGAGCUCUUCCUUUUUAAAUGGGGAAACAAAUGUCUAAGAUUUGGUCUGGCAACUGCUGCUGCUUCUGGGCAAAAGAUGGCAAAGACGUCUCCUUGAGGGCUGGGUCAGAACCGUUUCUCCGAUUCAUUUUGCUCAGUGCUAUAGGCUCACUUUUGUCUGUUGAAAAGGAUUGCGCUAUCAUCGUGGUGUACUAGGGUAGAUUCAUCCGGGGUGUGGUACGCCCUUGCGUGCCAAGACCUGGCAGCCAGGUGAUUUGAUUGACCUCCCUCCCUGGACAGACUUCUGUGCGUUUAUUUCGAGAGGCUGGAUCUGAAAGGAGUUCGGGGUCAGGGGAUUUGGAACUCGGUCUGGAGGAAGCAAAGCUGCUUUCGUUCACUUAGUGUGCUGGGCAAUUAGCCUUGGAGUAACAAAUGUUAUCUGCACCAGCGCAGCCCCGUGCCAAGUACCAAAACCACAUUUUCCAGAUGAUUCCAGUGAGAAGUUUCUGACCCAAAGCAAUUCAAAUUAGGCCCCAAAGACCACAAUCAUCUUGUAUAAAACGACACUGUUCCUCUCCUCCUGGCCUUCUUUGAUGAAAGAAUGCAAAAUCCAGGCUAAGCACCAACUGCAGAGCCCCUGUCAUGCUCUCCUAAGCUUCCAGAGUUACCGUAAGAGACGCUCGUGGUUCAUGGAAAGUAUACUAGCUAAAAUGACUCUGAAA